GUCAUUGUGAAGAUUAGAGAGAUCAGUGUGGGUCUGGUCAAAUGCACAAUCACACAGGUUAACCUCAUGUGAAUUUCUCUAACAGUUUCAAUCUUGGUAUGCUAGGGGCUUGGGGCUUCUGGUCACAAGAUGAGCAAAAUAAGCAUUGAGGAGGUAGAGAUCAAUGCACAAAUAGUUGGGUGGAUGGAAGGAUAAUGGAUGAAGAGAUGGCUGGCUUGAUGCCUUAAAUGAAGGGACAGAUAAGAGAACAAACAGCUGCUGUGGAAAGUAUCAAAGGUACAGAAUAAAAACCAGCUGAAGGAAUUUAACAUUCUAGCAAAUGAGUGCUUAUUCCAGGUGGGUGAGUGAGAGGGUAUUCUUAACACUACUGCCCGCUGUUGCAGCCAAGAUGGAAAGACCCUUAUUUGGCCUCUCCAUUUUACAGAGGGAGAAGAUGAGAGCUGUGGGUCUAAAACUGAUUUCACUUACUUUCUCUACCAGAAUGAAGGGGUAGCUUGGAGCAGGGCCCAGGUAGAGGCUCUUACCUCUGUGCCUCACUUUCCUUCUCCUGGCAGUGGAGCCGGAGGAUCCUCAGGGUCUCUGCAGAGAGAGGAAGUGAGGGGGCCAUGAGAGCUCAUCAAGGCAUGAGGUUUGGGCAGAGGUAAAAGGGCCAGGUCAUGUGGACACCGUAUGGGACUGUCAUUUACUGUGGUGGAAUCCACAGGAGGGGUGCAAGGUGAUUCAGGUUUCAAAAGGCUUCUAUCACUAUAGAGAGUAGGCUUAUACAGGUUGGAAAAGGCAAAAACAUGAAGACAGAACAGCUAUAAUUACCUUGCUUUUUGCUCAAGAUCUCUUUCAGGCGUACUUUCUCUCCACUCACUGGAAAAAGUAACAUGUUCAGGCAUCAGGGACCAUUCACUGCACCCCUGGGGACCAGGCCUGCGCACGGUCACAUGGGCAGUUUCAUACAGGCUUACCCCUGACCCCAAAUGUGGACCCCCAAGGUGACCCUCUCCUCUCUUGUGCUGACACUCGCUAUAAGCACUAGAGUCCUGAAGGUGAUAAAGGGUGUCUGUGAUGACUUUGUGGGAUGCCAGUGUGUUUACAUGAAAGGGAGAGAAAAAAUAAGAAACAUAUCACAUGAAGUGGGACAAGGACUGUGAAGAAAUAACAUCAAGCAGUAAGUGGCACAUGCCCAGGCAGGGACAGGGUGCUGUUUUUAGGUAACUGGGGAAGGCCUCUCUGAGCAUACUUGAGCUGAGAGCUGAGGAUGAUGUGAGGCAACAGGAAGUGGUGGUAUCUGGGGGACUGUCUAGCCAAGGCCCUGAGGUAGAGGCAUGCUUACAGAGUUUUUCAGGAACCUUCCCACCAACACAGUGGGAGGAGCAGGGAUUAGGAGGAUCUGAGGUUGAAGGGCAGGAGCCCUUGGUCACAGCCAAGAAUGCAGACAUCUGGAAUACUGUGUUCAAAGCUGCAUGACAUUGUGUGGACCUCUGGGUGACCGGUGACAAGCUUACAUGAGUCAAGUUCCUUUUGCAGGGUCUCCCAGACAGUCCGGGCCUCUCCCAGCUCUUCACUGGCUUUCUUUUUUGCUGUGCCAAAGAGUAAAACAUUAUUUAAGUGUCUUUUCCUUGCAAAUAUUUCACAUUUGUCUUCAAGUAAACCUAAAGGGGCUCAGGCUUUACAGAGCAGGAAAUGGGGCUUCCAGGAGCCUAAGCCCUUCCUGUUAGGUUCAGGUGGCAGCAGGGCCAGGUUAAUAAACAUGACUAUAGCAGUUAGUAUUUAGAUGGACCAACCCAUGCCUCAUUUAAUGCUCUGCUCUUUCAAAACACUUUGUAUAUUUUGAACUAGGGGCACCGCAUUUUCACUUUACACUGAGUCCUGCAAAUCACAUAACUUAUCCUGGUUGACAAGGCAAGGUCCUGAGCUCACCUUGCUGAACCUCAUUAAUCCGGUUAAUCAGGACCUCAACCUUGGGCUCUAGGCUUCCCGCUGCAGGGAGAAAAGGAGGUUGAGUGACUAUGACAGGACAGACAGAGGGAGGUGGAUGCCCCUCCAAGGGCUUACAUCUUGGGUAGGGGAGACAGGAACAGAGAGAGACAAAGUCAGAUUGUGGUAACUGCGGUCAAGAGAAAUAGGUAAUGGAUUAAAAAGUAAAGGAGCAGGACACGCUUCUUCAGAUAUGGCAAGACCUCUUGAGAGCCCCAAAUCAAGUAGGGUGGGGUAGGCCUUGAAGUUCGCUGGGUGGGUGUGAGACAGUGCAAAGGCCUGCCUUGAGGUAGGAACAUGGCUGGGAGGUGUCUGGUAAGGAAGCACAGAGGAGCAGAUGUGAGGUGGAGGGAAGGGAGGUAAAGGUGAAAAACUGUUUUCAGCAAAUCGCAGUGGGAGCCAAAUGGAUGGUGAGUAAGGGGAGUGUUAGGACAAUGUUUUGCAUUUUAUUGCAUUACACUUUAACUUUGAAUCAUGGGUCAUAUUUUUAACUCAGAAAAUUAAGGUUUAAAAGUAAGAGAAAGCAAAUGACUUCAUUUCCCAAGUUUGUGAAUUUGGGGGCUUAGAAUUGAUUCUACUUCUGCCUGAACCCAAACCUCAGGCUGAGCCUUAGUUACAGAGGAGACGUGACCUUUCUGCAACUUCUUCACCAUUUCCAUCAAGUCUUCUAUUUUUUGUGAGGACUUGGCCUGCCCUGUGGAGACAAAAACCAAACAUUUAAGAAUCAUAUAGGUGUGAGAAGCCUGAGGGAAGAUCUGACAACCUUGGGCUGGAACUGAGGUGGGUUGAGGGCAGGUUUCCAGCCAAAGUGGUGCUUCUGCUCCUUGACCUUAAGUGGACACUGCACAAGGGAUGAAUCGGGUCAUGGUCAGCUUUUCCUUAAGGAUGAAAUGACACCACAGAUUUCCCCUUACUAAAACUCAGGGCAAGGGAAGGAGUGCAUGCUUACUACAGAUACUGUUCAAGGCUUGGUCAAAGCGCAGGAUGUAAUAAUGAAAGAAAAAAAGGUAUUAAAAUAUUAAAAACUGGAAACAAGGAGUCAGAAGUCACUGUAAACAGCAGAUGGCAUAAUCGUCUAUAAAGUUCAAGAGAAUAUCACCAAAACAAAACAAAACAAAUCCCCACAAAAAGACCAAAAUACCUCACAAGGAAUAGUGAGGAAAUUUAAUAAGAUGUCUCAUUUAAAUGUAUAUGAAUACAAAACGCUUUCCUACAUACAAUCAUUACUCUGGAGCCUCCUAGAAAACCAUUUUGUACUGACUUGCUUAUACUCAAAUAGGCAUUUAUUUUUAACUCCCUAAUGAACUGGUAGAUCUAGGCAAUUAUUAUUAACAUCAAAAUAAAGAUAGACAUUAUGAGCUAUUUGAUGUAAAAAUACAACAUAGGAUUCUUGUCAAAAAUGACACUAAAACAAGUUAAGCCUCUCUAUCUAAAUAACAAUUUGAAGGAAACACAAGGACAGAGGAUCAUUUUAAAUGGCUCCUGUGGAUGCAAUUAGCAACAUCCACACUGGGGAGCUUCACAGGAAAAACAACCCAGUUUAACUUAAAUACAUUUUUGGGUUAUGGGGGAGGGAGAAAGGAAGACCCUUACAUACAAAAAGAGAUUAAAGACACCUAUCACCCAAUCUCGAUAAAUGGAUCAUAUUUGCAUCUUGAUUCAAUCAAAUACACUAUAGAAGAAUAUAUAUAUUCUUUUUCAGAUUAUUUUCCAUUACAGAUUACAAGAUAUUGCAUAUAGUUCCUUGUGCCAUACAUCAGGUCCUUGUUGUUUAGGUUUUAUAUUUAGUAGUGUGUAUCAGUUAAUCUCAGUCCUAAUGUAUCCCUCCAUUCCCCCUCUCCCCUUUGGUAACCGUAAGUUUGUUUUCUAUGUCUGUGAGUCUAUUUCUGGUUUGUAAAUAAGUUCAUUUGUAUCAUCGUUUUAGAUUCCACACAUAGGUGAUAUUUGUCUUUGUCUGAUUUACUUCAUUUAGUAUGAUUACCUCUAGGUCCAUCCAUUUUGCUGGAAAUGCCAUUAUUUCAUUCUUUUUAUGGCUGAGUAUUAUUCAGUCAUGUAUAUAUAUGCACCACCUCUUCUUUAUCCAGUUAUCUGUCCAUGGACAUUUAGGUUGCUUCCAUGUCUUGGCUACUGUAAAAAGUACUGCUGUGACCCUGGGGUGCAUAUACCAUUUCAAAUUAGUUUUAUUUUUUUCCAGAUACAUGCCUAGGAGUGGGACUGUUGGAUCAUAUGGUAACCAUAUUUAUAGUUUUUUAAGGAACCUCUCUACUGUUCUCCAUAGUGACUGCACCAAUUUAUAUUCCCACCAACAGUGUAGAAGGGUUCCUUUUUUCCACACCCUCUCCAGCAUUUAUUUGUAGACUAUGAUAGACAUUCUUACUAGUGUGAGGUGAUACCUCAUUGUAGUUUUCUCUUUCUAUAUUAGCAAUGUUCAGCAUCUUUUCAUGUGCCUGUGCAUUCUUGCAUAUGCCUAAAUUUUUCCAUAAUAAAGUUUAAGAAUAGGACAUACAGCUCCUUUAUGCCCUUCAUCCCAAAUCUUCCAUUUGCUACUCUUUCUGAACCUUGAGAAUGAGUUGCAGAUACAAUGCUUCAUUACCCCGAAUAUUCUGUUGUGAAGUUCUAAAGUACAGGGACACUCUCCUAUAUAGUAAUAACCUCAGUAUAACAAUUAAAACUGAGAGAACAACAGUGAUAGAUAUUAACAUACAAUCCUCAAAUGGCAUUUUAAAAAUGUCCCCUACUUUUACAUUUUAAAUUUCCACUAGUAUUAAUUACAUAUUCUUAGUAGAAAAUACAAAUAUUAAGGUUAAAAAUGUUCCUUUACCUCUGCAUUGCCCUCAAAAUCCAAGUCCCUUCCUUGGAGCCAUCAAUUAGGAAAGCAGCCUCCAGACAUCUUUCUGUGCAACCUACAUAGUGCUAUAAUUAUAAUUUUUCUUGCUUUUCUCUCAUAAAAAUAUCCUUUUUGAAAAUCAUGCUGUAUCGGUGUAAAUACAUCUAAUAAUUUAAAAGUUGACAUAGUUACCUUAAUUUUAAUUCCAUUUCUUCCUCAUUUCAGAAAUCCACUCUACAGGUAUUUCCCAGUAGAAAUACCUCGGGAUUUAGCUGUUCCCUCCCCAUGUUUUCCUACCGCCAUCUAGGCUCCAGUGACUACGUAGUCCAUGCAUCUAUAUGUUUUGUGUGAUCCUCCAGGAAAGAGCGAAGUUGUAAAAUUCCUAAGUUUCUAAGCCACAUGGGAUAUGGUAUUUCACCAGUUAUAAGACACUGGUGAAACUGAUUAAACAUUCAUCUAAAUAUGUUGUCUUAUUUGAGAAAUUUGGAAGAGCAAUACUAAGAGGUUUCUUUAGUACAGUGGUGGCCACGGUAGGUGCUUAAGAAAAGGGAACUAUAUGCAUCUGCCCUGUUUUUCUUUGUCCUUAGCUGAGAGUUGUCACCAGGUGCCACACUGUGCUCCAAUCAAGCUUUCUGUGCUGUUUCUUUAAUUACUUAGACCUUUAUUUUAUAAAAACGUUAUGGAGCCCUUACCAAUGUACCAAAGCUGCACUGGUAACGGCAGGUCUGAAAGUGUCACCAAGACAUGUUCAUGAUUGAAUCUUAAGGAGGGAGGUGGGUGAGCCAAGGAGAGCAGAGAGUAAACAAGCUGAGGGAUGGGUGUUCCUUGUACAGGUCCCUCCGGUUCUGUGAAACACCGGGGCGAAAACGUCUAAGGAACACUGUUCAUCUCUCCUCUACCCCAGGCUGUCCCUGCAGAACUUUUUAACUGAAGGAGCUGCCGUGCUCCCCCACCCGCUUCCUGGUGAGGUGGGAGCCAACACGCGGAGGAUCAGUGUCAAGACGAAAGAAAAGGUGCUGGCUUUGCCAAGACUACGAGACUGCCCUCCCAUGGGACACCACACACCUCUGGCUUUCCCAAGAUGACGAGACCCCCCUACCGUGGGACACCACACACCUCUGGCUUUCCCAAGACUGUGAGACCACCCCCCUAUGGGACACCACACACCUCUGGCUUUGUCAAGAUUCCGAGACCACCAGAGUCCAGCUGCAGGUGAAAGGUCAACUAACCUUCUCCCCCAGCUUCAGGGAAUCAAUUUCCCAUCCACAGGGUAUAAGAAGGCCCCAGCAGAAGUGGGGGGGGCUGGCUCUUCUCAGGGUCAGUCACCCUCUCCUUUCCCUCUAAUAAAUUUCCUUCUCUUUGUU
rnacentral:lncRNA from 1 species